ensembl:lncRNA
GAGCCAGGCAGGAGCAUCCCCAUGUGCCCACACCUGGGUGGUCUUGGCGUAUGCCCUCCCACUGCUCCUGUCCUGCUGCAGUCUCCUUCCUCACCCAAGAUAUGAAAACUGAGGCUCAGAGUAAUAACUUGCUCAAGAUCACACUGUUUGUGCAAGACAAAACCAGGAUUUGAACCCAGCCAUUCUCUGAGGAUCUCCUGCUGGGGGAGCCGAGGAUUCAUUGCCAAAAGGCACAGCCUCAGGUAGAUGCUCCAGUGAGGAAGACAGCAAGACAAACAAGCACGGCAGUGCAGAGGCCGACCUCAGGCUCCGUGCCCCAUCCCAGACUGCAUCACCUGACACUAGAUUCACACCUGGGUGUGUCUGGACCAGUACCUUGUCAAGGCCAAGGACGGGGAGGGCAAUCUCGCUCCUGUUGUAGACACAGAGCCCAACCCGGCACCAGGAAGCACUCCAUUAAUAUUCACAAAAGGACCGAAGAAUGAAAAAAUGUCUUGGAGCUUAAAAGAAAGGGUGCCCAUACACAAGGCCAUGGCAUGGCAGGGGUGGGGUGGGGGAGCAGGAAGGAGCCCACACAAUUAAUACACAAUUUGCCCACUUGAAGGAUGGAGAAACUGAGACUGAAAGAGGCUAGGGGAUGUGCCCAAGGACCUCAAAGCUACAAGAAUGGCGCAGGACCCGCAGCUCCCCAGAUACAAGAUAGGCUGGUACAUAUAAAUUCCAGGUACAGCUGCUUCAAGCAUCAGAGGGGUAAUGUUUGCAGGUCUGAGACUCCUCAAAACGCUGAGUACAGGUGAGGGUGCAGUAUCCCAUCUUCUCUCCAAAGCCUCAAAACAGCUCUGGGUGGCAGAUAGACCCUCAUACCACAGACAGAAAAACCGGGGCUCUGGGAGAGGGUGUAGGAUUCCCCAACCCCAGGCCCUUCUUGGUCAGUACCUCAGUGGGACUCUCCUGCUGACUGGCGGUUCCACCUCCAUCCCCUCUGAAAUUCACCAGCACGGGGUGCAGACCUGGGCCCGGGCCUGAAUCUGCCUCUGCCGACUGGGUGACUCGGGCAGGGACCAGCCCUCUUUGAGCCUCAGCUUUCCCAAGAGCCAUCUCCUCUGCCCCACGCAGCUGCUUCAAGGAGCAGAGGAAAGAGCAUGCAUGGACGAUCAGUCACUUCAGUCGUCUCCGACUCUUUGCGAUCCUGUGAACUGUACCUGCCAGGCUCCUCUGUCCAUGGGAUUCUCCAG